CACGUAGGGCGCAAGCGUUGUCCGGAAUUAUUGGGCGUAAAGAGCUCGUAGGCGGCUUGUUAAGUCUUGCGUGAAAUCUCGGGGCUCAACCCCGAGCGGUCGUGAGAAACUGGCAGGCUAGAGUGCGGGAGAGGAGAGUGGAAUUCCCGGUGUAGUGGUGAAAUGCGUAGAUAUCGGGAGGAACACCAGUGGCGAAGGCGGCCCCCUGGCUCGUACCUGACGCUCAGCCACGAAAGCAUGGGGAGCGAACGGG
rnacentral:rRNA from 1 species